rnacentral:lncRNA from 1 species
AACGUAGAAUGGGUCCUGGUAUUUCCCUUACAUAUCAUAACAUAACAGUGUCCAACUGUGCCAGAACGUAGAAUGGGUCCUGGUCUUUCUCUUACAUAGUGCCAGCGAACGUAGAAUGGGUCCCACUGGUCUUACUUUCUGUACCGUACAUAUCACAUCGUCAUAUCAUAAAUCGAGGGCUAUGGAUCAUCCAACAUUC